rnacentral:rRNA from 1 species
UACGGGGGGAGCAAGCGUUGUUCGGAUUUACUGGGCGUAAAGGGCUCGUAGGUGGCCAACUAAGUCAGACGUGAAAUCCCUCGGCUUAACCGGGGAACUGCGUCUGAUACUGGAUGGCUUGAGUUUGGGAGAGGGACGCGGAAUUCCAGGUGUAGCGGUGAAAUGCGUAGAUAUCUGGAGGAACACCGGUGGCGAAGGCGGCGUCCUGGACCAAUACUGACACUGAACAGCGAAAGCCAGGGGAGCAAACGGG